rnacentral:lncRNA from 1 species
UAGCCUAUUGCAACCGUAAAAAAAAUACAGGCAUUCAAUUACAAUGUUCAAAACCAUACAUAUAAUAUGUAGAUUCAUAAAAUUCAUAAUUCUCAUAGCAAAUAUCCAUCAAAUGAUACUCAAAUGUAAUUUAGCCAUCCUAAUUAAGGGCCAAGACUAAAUUGUCCGUGAUCUAGAGUCCAGUCGAGCUAGAUCUUUGUAUCCUGCAAUCAAGAAAUAAAAAAAAUAGUUCUAGUUAAUGAGUCCAACAUAACAUGUCAGUGCACUACAAACAAUAUAACAUGGACCCAUGCUUGUAAAAGAUACAGAAGUUGUGAUUAUUGACCACUGAUUUGUUCUGCUGUGUACCAUAUAAUUCAUGGCAUCACCUUUGUAGAUAAUGUUCAGUUUUGAACAUAUAAAAAUGUGUAGAAAUCGCACGUACGAUUAUGAAUGGUCAUUUACCUCAACAGCAAUGGAGAAAUCAUCUUUGUUACAGAUGAGUAGGUAAACAAAAAUGGAGCCAUUUAUGAGAGUGCCCAAGCCUAAAAAUAUCAAACAAAUUACCACAUGAGAAUUAGAAGAGGGAGAAGUGGAAGUGCGGUUAUAUGUAAAUCCCAAGUUCUGUGAACCCAUGUAUUCAUGAUACUGCAUAUUUGUAGGCAAAACUUAAUACCUUUGUGUAAGUAACU